GGAUUAUCAGCUUCUCUAUGACAGUUCUUUAUCUUCCCUGCUUCCUACUGGGAUGGGGGAAUGGGUGAAUGACUGUGUGAUGCUCACACAGUCACAUAACAUCUGCUAGAUUAGAGCACAACAAUUGUGAGUCUCAGCAAAAUCUUCCAGUUCAGCCAUACUGGUCUUCUUCCCUGCUGACUCAUUUUAUAGCACACAGAGACAGCAUGUCUCCUUCUUGAGAAGUGUCCAGCUUUCAUGGACCCUUUGUCCUUCAGUACUGACUCCCAACGGAUUCUCCCAACCAACAUCCUAAAUAAUUCAAAAUUUCUCCUUAAGGAAUCUCUUGAUUAGACUGGGAUGAUAUUAGAAAAGCCAAAGCAAAGCUAGAAUUAAAACCGGUGAGGAACAUCAAAGAGAACAAGUGUUUCUACACAUAUAUUAGUGGAUUAAUGGUAAACAAAGAAAAAAGGGGCCUGUUGUUCAGUGGGGCUUGUGAUUUAAUGAGAGUAGAAACAUUUAAAGCUGAGGUACUCAAAGCUUCUUUGUACUAGUCUCCAACACGGUCUUUCAGAAUUUUGUACCUAGAAACAUUGUUCCAGAAAGGGAGUUACCAUUAGUGGAGAGUGAUCAAACUGGGAAUCUCUUCUGGAAAUUCUUGUUCUGCACAUGAUAAACUGUGAUGAGUAUUACAUUUGAAGUCAGUCAGGGGGCUGAAGGACUUGCCUGCUGAGGAGAGUUUGAGAAACCGAGGCUUUUCUGGAAAGACUUGACAUCACUCUCCUAUUGCUGACAUAGGGAUUAAGAGAUUAUUAGGGAUACUGGUAGAGCCAGUAUCAUUAUAGAACUUUACUGUGAGACACUAGGAGAUAAUGAUGCCAAAUUGAAAUGGGAGGGUUCAAUCUGAUAUAAGGGGGCAAAUAUUGCUGUAGGAUAGCUCAGCACUAAAGCAGGUUACCCAGAGAGGUUAUAGGGUUUGUUGAAAGUUUCAACAAACAACUACACGAAGUCCUAAGGAAGAUGGUCUGAAAUAUGCACUGACCAUACUGUGAGUGGAAUUUGGAUGAAAUGAUCUCUCAGGGUCCCUUCCAAGCUUGAUUAUUUUGUGAUUUUUAAGAGUUAGUCCCAUAUAGGCCAAAUAUUAGGGAAUGUAUACACUAUCACUUAACUUACCACUUGUGUACACUGAGAACGAAGUGCAGUAAUUAGACAGUUAAUUAGUCUGUAUAGAGCUAAAAAUAAAAUGAACUGAUAUUUAGCCCCAUUAAUACAUAAUUUGAUGUU